rnacentral:rRNA from 1 species
UACAGAGGGUGCGAGCGUUAAUCGGAAUUACUGGGCGUAAAGCGUGCGUAGACGGUAGCGUAAGUCAGAUGUGAAAGCCCCGGGCUCAACCUGGGAAUUGCAUUUGAGACUGCUCUGCUCGGGUGCGGAAGAGGGAAGCGGAAUUUCCGGUGUAGCGGUGAAAUGCGUAGAUAUUCGGAAGAACACCAGUGGCGAAGGCGACUUACUGGACACAUAUUGACGCUGAGGUGCGAAAGCGUGGGGAGCAAACAGG